AGUCUUCUCCUGGGGCUUUGGUGGCUAUGGCCGACUGGGCCACGCAGAGCAGAAGGAUGAGAUG
ensembl:miRNA